CGGAUAUAUACGACAUGUAUGUAGGGAUACUAUCCGGAGAUCGGAAGGGAAAGAACCGUAACUCCAACAAUGCAUGCAAGGAAUCCUGUGUCAAAUUUAACGGAAACUGAUGGAGAGGAUUUGAAUUACUGAUUUGAAAGGUGCAAUUAUUUUUACACCUGAUAUAGAAUCUCAUUAUAUUAGUACUGUGCAACUAGUCAUUGGAAUUUUUCCAAGUAAAAUGACAUGAUUCAUUCAUUUUUAAGGAUUUUUUGGGCAUUAUGAUUUCUUUGAGGUUUAGGGGGUGGGGCGCGUUGAAGGGUUUUGUUGGCGUGGAGGGAAAGGAGAGGUCGUCGAAUAAAUCAAUUAUAACCUCGAAGAAAUGUUUGUGUAGCUCCAAUAGAAUUUAUGUAAUGCUUUAUUGCUUUAUGAUUUACUCGUGUAUAAAUGAUUUUGUAGUUUUUUAAUGUUCCAUUUUUGAUACUUGUCAAAUGCAAGUUGAGAUCUCAAAGGAAAAUAUACUUUACCUCGGUGUUUUGUAAAUUAUGUUUACUUUUUUUUCUACAGAGUUGUGGCUCCUAUGUUCAAUAUCAAUUUAUUUUUUCAAUAAAAGAAAUCAGUUUU
rnacentral:misc_RNA from 1 species